rnacentral:misc_RNA from 1 species
UGGCUCUAGCAUCGAUGAAGAACGCAGCGAAACGCGAUAAGUAGUGUGAAUUGCAGAAUUCAGUGAAUCAUCGAAUCUUUGAACGCACAUGGCGCUCCCCGGUAUCCCGGGGAGCAUGCCUGUCCGAGCGUCGUUUCAACCCUCGAGCCCCUCGUGGCCCGGCGUUGGGGGCCCACGCACCGCCGUGGCCCCCGAAAAGCAGUGGCGGACCCGCGACGGCCCCCCCUUUGCGCAGUAGCAUCAGCCUCGCAUCGGGAGCCCGCGGUCUCUCCGGCCUCUAAACCCCCCAUCAAGCCCGCCCCGGCGGCACCAAAGGUUGACCUCGGAUCAGGUAGGAAUACCCGCUGA